CCUACGGGGGGCAGCAGUGGGGAAUAUUGGACAAUGGGGGGAACCCUGAUCCAGCCAUGCCGCGUGUGUGAAGAAGGCCCUCGGGUUGUAAAGCGCUUUCAGUGAGGAAGAACGCCUGGUGGUUAAUACCCAUCAGGAAAGACAUCACUCACAGAAGAAGCACCGGCUAACUCCGUGCCAGCAGCCGCGGUAAUACGGAGGGUGCGAGCGUUAAUCGGAAUUACUGGGCGUAAAGCGCGCGUAGGUGGCUUGAUAAGCCGGUUGUGAAAGCCCCGGGCUCAACCUGGGAACGGCAUCCGGAACUGUCAAGCUAGAGUGCAGGAGAGGAAGGUAGAAUUCCCGGUGUAGCGGUGAAAUGCGUAGAGAUCGGGAGGAAUACCAGUGGCGAAGGCGGCCUUCUGGACUGACACUGACACUGAGGUGCGAAAGCGUGGGUAGCAAACAGGAUUAGAUACCCGUGUAGUC
rnacentral:rRNA from 1 species